rnacentral:rRNA from 1 species
CCUACGGGAGGCAGCAGUGGGGAAUAUUGGACAAUGGGGGGAACCCUGAUCCAGCGACGCCGCGUGAGUGAAGAAGUAUUUCGGUAUGUAAAGCUCUAUCAGCAGGGAAGAAAGAAAUGACGGUACCUGACUAAGAAGCCCCGGCUAACUACGUGCCAGCAGCCGCGGUAAUACGUAGGGGGCAAGCGUUAUCCGGAUUUACUGGGUGGAAAGGGGGCGUAGACGGCGAUGCAAGUCUGAAGUGAAAGGCGGGGGCCCAACCCCUGGACUGCUUUGGAAACUGUAUGGCUGGAGUGCAGGAGAGGUAAGUGGAAUUCCUAGUGUAGCGGUGAAAUGCGUAGAUAUUAGGAGGAACACCAGUGGCGAAGGCGGCUUACUGGACUGUAACUGACGUUGAGGCUCGAAAGCGUGGGGAGCAAACAGGAUUAGAUACCCUUGUAGUC